UACAGAGGUCUCAAGCGUUGUUCGGAUUCAUUGGGCGUAAAGGGUGCGUAGGCGGCGCGGUAAGUCGGGUGUGAAAUCUCGGAGCUUAACUCCGAAACUGCAUUCGAUACUGCCGUGCUUGAGGACUGGAGAGGAGACUGGAAUUUACGGUGUAGCGGUGAAAUGCGUAGAUAUCGUAAGGAAGACCAGUGCGAAGGCGGGUCUCUGGACAGUUCCUGACGCUGAGGCACGAAGGUCAGGGGGAGCAAAACGGGG
rnacentral:rRNA from 1 species